AUUAUGCACACAGCACGGCUGGCAUACUACGGGGACAGAAAACCAUUUGAAAAGAUCAAUUCUUUCGACAGCCUGUUCGUCACGAGCAAGAAAUCUCGAAAGGUUAAUGUAUUAAUACUUUUACUCACCACAAAUGUAACUGUAUGUGCCCAGUUGUCGCGGAGACAUUGGUGUAAUCUAAAAAUUACUAAUAUACGAGAACUACAAACCUUAACCUUCGAUAUCUAAUAUCUAUAUUACGCAAACAAUUAAACAAUCAAAUAUAGCUACAAACCUUGUAUAAACUAACAAAUCUUAUAAACGAACACUUAAGAAUAGCUUAUCUAACUGUACACUGAAUAAACUACAAACCAUAACCUAUACUAAAUAUAACUUAUUUAUAUUUAGCUACAUUAUAACUAAUAUAAUGUAGCUAUAUGGUAAUUAUAACUUAACCAAUAAAGAAAACAACGAAAUAACUAACUUAUUUAAAAAUUAACUACAAAAUACACGCAAUUUAUAUGAAAAAAGAUUAAAUCAGUAGGAGCUUUUCAACCAACAGCCGUUGUGUCAAUUGAAGGAUCAAGCGCGAGACGUCAUUCCAAAGCUAUGCUUUCAUCUUUCCUGUUAGAACACAACUUGUUUCCUUUCUACAUACUAGACAGACAGAAUUUGAUAACAUGGGUACGUAACCAUGAAAUGUCAUAAUUGAAAUCAGCAUAUUGCUUUUAGUUUUGCUGAAUUUUAAUUGUUAUGUAUUAUACAGCUUGAAAAUUCAUCAAAGUGUAACAAAUAUAUGUUUUCUAUUGAUGGGUUCCCUAUUAAAGGGAGGCAUGUUGCUGUUUACUCCAGACGUUAAGGCUGACUAUGAAACGUCCUGUUUGUGGAGACACAGUUGCUGAAUCCCAUCAUAAAAAUGGAAGAUUGCAGGCCACCAUGCUGCCAUUAAUUUCAGCAUUGGACUCGUUUCCGUCCUGUUUGGCCUCUCCUGCAUUUGCUGUCAUUGCUUGCAUCUGAUUCAGCAUCUAUCAUUCUGCAUUUCUGUUUACUUGCAUUUUGAACCCUUAGCAAUAAUAAAAGUCUUAGGAGUUUUCCAUUU